rnacentral:rRNA from 1 species
GACGUAGGGCGCGAGCGUUGUCCGGAUUUACUGGGCGUAAAGAGCUCGUAGGUGGUUUGUCGCGUUGUUCGUGAAAUCUCACGGCUUAACUGUGAGCGUGCGGGCGAUACGGGCAGACUAGAGUACUGCAGGGGAGACUGGAAUUCCUGGUGUAGCGGUGGAAUGCGCAGAUAUCAGGAGGAACACCGGUGGCGAAGGCGGGUCUCUGGGCAGUAACUGACGCUGAGGAGCGAAAGCGUGGGGAGCGAACAGG